rnacentral:rRNA from 1 species
CACAGGUGGUAUUGCGUUUUAAAUAUUAAAUAGGCAUUAAGUGUGAUUAGGUGGCGAUCUAUGAUUAAAAGCUAGAGUCCUAAGAGGAGAGUUAGAGGAAUAACCAAAUGAAGGAUGAAAUCUAUAGAUAUUGGUUGGAACAUCGAUAGCGACAGCAUCACUCUAUUUUAGGACUGACAGCUGAAUCACUAAAGGUGUGG